rnacentral:rRNA from 1 species
UACGUAGGUGGCAAGCGUUGUCCGGAUUUAUUGGGUUUAAAGGGUGCGUAGGCGGUUAUAUAAGUCAGUGCUGAAAUCUCCCGGCUUAACCGGGAGGGUGGCAUUGAUACUGUAUGACUUGAGUAAAGUUGAGGUUGGCGGAAUUGACGGUGUAGCGGUGAAAUGCUUAGAUAUCGUCAAGAACACCGAUGGCGAAGGCAGCUAACUAAGCGUUAACUGACGCUGAGGCACGAAAGUGUGGGGAGCAAACAGG